UACGGAGGGUGCAAGCGUUGCUCGGAAUCACUGGGCGUAAAGCGUACGCAGGCGGUCAAAUAAGUCGGGUGUGAAAGCCCGGGGCUCAACCCCGGAACUGCACUCGAAACUGUCUGACUUGAGUACGGGAGAGGAGAGCGGAAUUCCUGGUGUAGAGGUGAAAUUCGUAGAUAUCAGGAGGAACACCCGUGGCGAAAGCG
rnacentral:rRNA from 1 species